GAAAAAGAAUUAGGUAUUCUAUUCAAUACUUUCCUAUCCAAGUAUUGAGAGAGUUUGGUUGUGAAUUUGGGAUCAUUGUAGAAGACCGCAAAUUCAAAGAUGGAUUCACCUUAAGAUAUUUGCUCACACUUAAUGAUGUAUUCCUGAUUAUUUUAAGCAUCCUUCAUGUGAACUAUGUGUUAUGUUGGUUGUCUAUAUUACAUGCAAGUGAUCUUGUCUAUUUGCGCCCAUUGUGCAUGCUUGAUUUUCAAACAAUACAUAAUAUUGCAAAGAAGAGAUAUGGUUGUUGCAAAGAUUGAAUGAGAAAACAACCUAACAAACUCUUUCACAAAAUCUUUACCGCAGAAGCCCUUAGAAAGACAUGUAGAAGAAUUGGGUGCUAGUGUUGUGGAUUCAUGGUAAUGAGUCUAAGUAAGAGAUUGUUAGGAUAUACUAUAAACCAUGCGAUUUUGAAAUAGUACUAUUUAUGGAAUGAUUAUUUAUUUAUUUAAUUCAAUAAAUCAUUACAUUAAAUAUAUUUUUACCAUAUAUGUGUCCUCAAUAUAUAUAUAGUAGAUAAUUUGGUGUAUAUUAUACACGGAAGAUUAAAUCAUCGAUUCUAAUAAGUUAAAGUUUUAGUUCACAAUCGUAGAUAGGAAUUUGGGCAAACCAUCAGAAUGAUUGUAGCACAAGAUUAUAUGUAAUUUAUCUUGAUUAAGAGAAUGAUAUAGUUCUAACUUAUUCUUCUAGUACAUUUUGUAUGUGUUGAAUGAGAUCGAGUAGAAAUAGUUGUUUUGUACUAACUAAUAAAAAUAUAUUCUCUAGAUUGAUAAAUGUACUUAUAUUCUCAAUCCUGAUAUAACUAUUAUGAUUUGUGUAUAUUCUUUAUCUAUUUGAUUUAUUAAGAUGUGAUAUUCUGAGAUGGGUCAAUAUUCAAAUUGGAUGAUAAUAAUAUAUAUUGGUGAAAUAAUAAGUUAGUUGAUGGAGUUCAUAUUUGGGUAUAGAGAUUGAUGAUACGUCUUUUAUGAGAAGCUUAUAAGUUUUCAUGUGUAUCAUUGAAUUUACGAAUCCGACAUAUGAAAUAAGUGAAGUAUUGCUAUAAAGGAAAUUAAUCAUUAUAUUAAAUUCUUCUAUAAUUUAAUUUAUUGAUUAGUAUCUAUAAUAUUAAUAUGUGAAAUUACAUAAGUGUUUAAUGGAGAAUUUGAAAUAAAAAUAAAGAAGUAAAAUUACAAAUUUUUAGUGAAUAAUUUAUAAUUUACUAUGGUAAGAAUAAUUCAAAUUGGUUUUUUGAAUUACUUCCAUAAUAGGGAGCCUCAAUAAUUAAUUAUGUGGUCCCUACAGCGCCAAUAUUAUACUAAAACUUGAAAUUCUAUUUUCUAUGGGAAAAUAAGAAACCACCUGUGCUUAUUCAAGUAGAAAUAGGCGUGUAUUUUUCUUUCCUCCUUAGACUGGGGAAGUAUCUCUAUCAAUAGAUAUUUCCCUAGCCUAGAAAUUGAAAAACAAAAACAUAGAAAGAAUUCGGUAUUCUAUUCAGUACUUGCCCACCCACGUAUUGAGAGAGUUCAACUGAGAAUUUGGGAUCACUGUAGAAGACUACAGAUUUGAUAAUGGAUUCAGUUGAAAGUAUCUACACAUGCUUCAAGAGGUAUUCCUGAUUAUCUUAAAGCUUUAUUUUCAUGAACUAAGUGUUUAUGUUGGUUGUCUAUAUUACAUGCAAGAGAUCCAGUCUAUUUACUUUCAUUGUGUGUACCUGAUAUUCCAACAAAUAGUUCUCUAAUAGAAUCCAUUGAAUGACUAUGUUAAGGUAUAAUUGAUAUUUUUUUAGCUAAAUGACUGGCCCAAGCCUAUUUUAUUGAUAAAAUAUUUACAAUAAUAAAGUGGGUCAAUCAAAUAAAGGACCAACUCGACAAAAAAUAACAAAAAAAUAAAAAACUCUAUUCUAUUCUAGAAAGCAAUGAAUAAGGAAAAUAGGAAUUGGGAAAGGCUAACGAAUCUCUACAUGUCUCCUUAUCUCAAUGCCAGCUACCUCUUCAGUCAUUUGAAUCUACUCAUCUCAGAUGAUAUGUACUACACACUAUAAACUUCCCAUUUGUGGUUUGGAAUCCACUAAGCAUGUCCCAUGAUGAUGCCUUUUGACUGAUAGAUGAGACGUGAAAGUGGUGGUCCCGAGGUACCCACAAAAUUGCAGUUGCUAACGCUGGGGUCUAUAUGACCGUGAGGUUUGAGUCCCCCUUAUUAUUAUCAACACAUGAAUGGGAUGUUCGAGUCCCUCAUAUCUUAUUACAUUAUUUGGUGUAUGUGUCACCUUUAUAUGCUGGGAGGUUCGAGUUCCCCGUAGUGCAUAUGUUUACCCUUUGGUUCGUACGGCCACUUGCACUAGCACCUUAUCAGCUGGGGGAGACAUGGGCACAAAUAGCCCCUAGGUACCUUUGUAUAUUAUGAUGGUUAAGCUAUACAAUCCAGACUAAAGUUUUAAAGUGCCUGUUAAGCGUUGUUCCCUAUCUCGGCAUAUGAUAUAUAUGUGUAUAUGUAUUUGAUUAUGUAUGUUGGAUUCGAAUGAUUUUGAAUUAUUGAUUAUGGCAUUAUUUUCAUCCUUAUCCCUGAGUUACAUGCUAGCGUUCAUCCCGCUAAAUGUCUUCCGAUGUUGUAUCCCCACGCGAUGCAGAAACUGGUGAUACCCCUACUUUUUCUACUCAGUGAUUAUAAUUCAGGAUCAGCUCAUAAGUUGACAUUAAAGUGGUGAGUUUUCAUACUUUUGAAGUCUACAUUUCAUGUUUUGGUCUCUUAUGCCUCACACUGUUUAGACUUAUUUUUGGCUAUAGCCGAGGGCAUUCCCGAUACUUUUUUUAUAUUCAGUUUUUCUUCUUUGUCUAGAAGUCUUUGUUUGGAUUACUGUGGAUAUUGGGCGAUGUUAGCUGGUUGUUUGGCCGGUCGCUGGUCAUUGGUGAUAGACAUGUUUUAAAUUUCCCUUAAGCUUAUUGCAUUCUUUCUUUUUAUAUGUUUGAAAUUCAUCCAACAGCAGGGAUAUUGUGUUGUUUGGUUAGGUGCAAAGGGGGCGGUCUCUGGUCCACAUGGGAUUUUAGAUGGCCAUCACAGAAAGACACUGGUUCCGGUCAUGACAAACACGCAUUGUAGGCUCUUAGGAUCAAAUUUGAGCAUACCAGUAACAACAUUAGGGGACGCCUCAAAACACUGGUGGGUUACAAAAGCAUACAGACAACUCCAGCCAGUGUCGAAGCCAAAAGCAGAAGUAGCACCGUUUGGUGUAGGAGCUGACAAAGUAGCAACAGGGAUCUUAUUUUCCCUAGAAGCAACCCUGGAAGGACAGCCCCAUCUGUAUAUGACCAAUCUGAUCAUAUUUAAAGUACUUGUUCCUCCCUUCUUCACAAGCACCACGAUGCACUUG